GGGGCUGUAGCUCAGUGGCAGAGUGCUUGCCUGGUAUGCAUGAAGCACUGGGUAUGAUCCUCAGCACCACA
rnacentral:tRNA from 1 species